rnacentral:rRNA from 1 species
GUGCCAGCGCCGCGGUAAUACGGAGGAUGCGAGCGUUAUCCGGAAUCACUGGGUUUAAAGGGUGCGCAGGCGGAAUAAUAAGUCAGGGGUGAAAAUUCUCAGCUUAACUGAGGACUUGCCUUUGAUACUGUUAUUCUUGAGUGCAGUUGAAGUGGGCGGAAUAUAGCAUGGAGCGGUGAAAUGCAUAGAUAUGCUAUAGAACACCAAUUGCGAAGGCAGCUCACUAAACUGUAACUGACGCUGAGGCACGAAAGCUUGGAUAGCAAACAGGAUUAGAUACCCUGGUAGUCCGGGCUGUAAACGAUGAACACUUGCUGUUGGCGAUACAGAGUCAGUGGCAGAGCGAAAGUGUUAAGUGUUCCACCUGGGAAGUACGAUCGCAAGGUUGAAACUCAAAGGGAUUGACGGGGGCCCGCACAAGCGGAGGAGCAUGUGGUUUAAUUCGAUGAUACGCGAGGA